GACGAACGCUGGCGGCGUGCUUAACACAUGCAAGUCGUACGGGAAGGCCCUUUCGGGGGUACACGAGUGGCGAACGGGUGAGUAACACGUGAGUAACCUGCCCACAACUUUGGGAUAACGCUAGGAAACUGGUGCUAAUACUGGAUAUGUGCUCCUGCUGCAUGGUGGGGGUUGGAAAGCUCCGGCGGUUGUGGAUGGACUCGCGGCCUAUCAGCUUGUUGGUGGGGUAGUGGCCUACCAAGGCGGCGACGGGUAGCCGGCCUGAGAGGGUGACCGGCCACAUUGGGACUGAGAUACGGCCCAGACUCCUACGGGAGGCAGCAGUGGGGAAUAUUGCACAAUGGGCGCAAGCCUGAUGCAGCAACGCCGCGUGCGGGAUGACGGCCUUCGGGUUGUAAACCGCUUUCAGCAGGGACGAAGCUUUUUGUGACGGUACCUGCAGAAGAAGCACCGGCUAACUACGUG
rnacentral:rRNA from 1 species